GGAACUCGCAGGAAUUUUGAUUUUCCUUUGAUCUUUAUAUCUACAAGCAUCACAGCAAAUCAGUAGCCACAUCGCUUGUUUCUGUUAAAAAAAAUGGUGGUGAUAGAACCGGAAGAAGUGGACGAACAGAUCUUAGUCAACAAUCUUCCAAAGCCAAAAGCAGUUCCCUCGUCAUCGUCUUCCAAAACGGCGACGGGUUCAAGCAAAUACACUGAUUCUACAACUCCGUCGGUGGUGGCGGCAGAUUCGAAUGUGAACGAGAACGAUUCCGAUGGGUUCGAAACGGCAAGCGAGCACGAAGUUAGCGAUAACGAAGAAAUUAUCAAUGAAGAUAAUCAUCAACAACCAGAACCACAGCCACCGCCAGCACCACGACAAGAUGUGAAAGCGGACUCUAAUGUAAACGACGACGAAUUGCAACAGAAAA
rnacentral:misc_RNA from 1 species